rnacentral:rRNA from 1 species
AUGUCAAAUCAUCAUGCCCCUUAAGUUCUGGGCUACACACGUACUACAAUGGCGUAAACAAAGGGGAGCGAAGGAGCGAUCCGGAGCAAAUCUCAAAAAUACGCCUCAGUUCAGAUUGCAGGCUGCAACUCGCCUGCAUGAAGUCGGAAUUGCUAGUAAUCGCGAAUCAGCAUGUCGCGGUGAAUACGUUCCCGGGCUUU